ACUGCCCUGCAGAUGCCGGACUUGCCGGCACCACAGGUGUGGCCCGCGCCGUUGGGGCAGAGAGGAAGCGGCUAUUUCUACGCUCAGUGCUCAGAACUGUGGGCACUAAGAAUGGUUUGUAGCCAGACACCA
rnacentral:snoRNA from 1 species